UAAGCCCUGCUCAGAAGUCAAGAGCAGCAGCGCCGCCGCUCCGCGCGGGCCUUUCAUGCCGCAGCCGUUCCUUAUUCUUGUGUCUUGGCCUCUCUGGGCGCCCCGGGACAAAGCCCCCGGGGUCCGGCCGCACCCUUCUAGCUAAAUCCCCUUCGGGGUCAGUGCGCUACCAGCACCGGGCCGCGCGCCUCUCCAGCCAGCCGUGUGGCUCUUAAAGAGCCUCACCCCCACCCCUCCACCCCACGCGCUCAGACCCCCACCUCCCCUCCCCUCUCCUCCGGAUCAAGCCCCCGACGCCGACGCCUGAGGUCCCCGCUGCCCCGAC
ensembl:misc_RNA predicted gene, 27283